UCUCAACUUUUCACAAUUUGUUACAAUUUAGCACAACUUGGCCUACUUAGCCCUUUUCUUAUCACAUAUCCACACAUAUCAUAUUUACUACUCAAUCUUAGCUCCAAAUUACUCAUUUCAUUAUAAUUUCACACAUGGGCUAAGAUUCACCAUAAAUCUCUACAUUUUCAACUAAAAACCCAUUUCAAAACAUUCAAAGCAUUCAACAACCCUAUGGCAACUCAUAUACAAAAAAUUUAUGCUAAAUUAGUUUAUUAUACAAAUUCAAAGCUUCCAUAUGACCAUGGCACCAUUGUGCCAGUUCAGACUCUUUACCCUUGCCCUAAUCACUACUUUGCCCUGUAAAAAUUUAACCACGAGGGGUGAGAUAAAAAUCUCAGUGACAGAAUAAUUUACUCCUAUUGACUAUCACAUGCAACUAUAUGAAAGUAAAACACAAUAUAUCAUUUAACAUAACACAUAUCAUAUCUUUCAUUCAAAUCUCAUUAAUAUAGCAUAUAUCACCACUUUCAUUGCUUUUCAUUACUUUUCUAACAUAAGCAUGAUCUCUACCGUCCGAACCUCCAAAUCACCCCAACUCAAAACUAUAGGCUCGCCUUAGACUAAUGCACAAUCUCAUUGGCCUUGAGCUCACUUUUAGUGGUAGAAUCACUCGGCCAAAGGUGUUCUAUGUAACAUUAUGAGUUUUAAUUCCUCGAUUAAUUAAACCUAAUUAGGGUAAUUAAGUAAGUUGAAGUAGUGUGUGGCCAGGGAGUUCUAAUAAUUAUAUUUGAUAGUAUUUCAGCCCUAAUUGUAGGUUCGGUAUCGAGGCGGGCCACCCGGGUAUUAAAAGGAGACGAAAAGAAAGAGUUGAAGUUGCUGUGCCACACGCUGAGGUGUGGAGAUCGUCCACCAUGGUGCACAGACAUUUUUGAGUGAGGGAGGACCUCUCUGUGCCAUGGCGCAUAGACAUAAUUAGGUAUGGCCAUUUUCUACAGUUUAUUAAACACAAAAUGAAACAAAAAUAGAAAGAAGAGAAAAGAAAGAAUGAAGAGACACGCCAAAGCUCUGUUAAGGUUUACUUGUGGACAACUUUGGGAGUAUUUUGAAGGCUACAAACACCCAAGCUUUGGCUAUUGGUCAUCUAUUGGAUUAAAAAUUCAAGAUUGGAAGCUAGUUGAUUGAGGGGUAAACCUUUGACCUCUCAAUGGUUUAAGGCUCUAGCUCUGGUGUUGAGAGGGAGAAGGCUAAAGAGACGGGAAAUUAGCAUAUUCCUACUGUAUGCUUUUAGAGUAGAUUUAAUUGUGUAAUAGUAUAUGAAUUGCCCAUUUUAGGAUGCAUGCCAUCACACUUGUACUAUUUUGUUAUUGGAAAUGUUAGAUUUGUAUUUUA